rnacentral:rRNA from 1 species
AAUAUUGCGCAAUGGAGGGAACUCUGACGCAGCGACGCCGCGUGAGCGAUGAAGGUUUUCGGAUCGUAAAGCUCUGUCCUUGGGGAAGGAGGCGGCCCUUUAUGGUUACUUGACUGUACCCUAGGACGCAGCCCCGGCUAACCUCGUGCCACGAGCCGCGGUAAUGCGUAGGGGGCAAGCGUUGCCCGGAAUUAUUGGGCGUAAAGGGUGCGUAGGGGGCCUUUUAAGUCAGAUGGGAAAGACCACGGCUUAACCGUGGGGUUGCAUUUGAAACUGGAGGGCUUGAGUAUCGGAGAGGGUAGUGGAAUUCCCAGUGUAGCGGUGGAAUGCGUAGAUAUUGGGAGGAAAACCAGUGGCGAAGGCGACUACCUGGACGAAAACUGACGCUGAGGCACGAAAGCUAGGGGAGCAAGCA